rnacentral:rRNA from 2 species
CCUACGGGAGGCAGCAGUGGGGAAUCUUGGACAAUGGGGGCAACCCUGAUCCAGCCAUGCCGCGUGAGUGAUGAAGGCCUUAGGGUCGUAAAGCUCUUUCGCCUGUGAUGAUAAUGACAGUAGCAGGUAAAGAAACCCCGGCUAACUCCGUGCCAGCAGCCGCGGUAAU